AAGAGGGACAAACCGGGGGCAUUCGUAUCAUUACGCGAGAGGUGAAAUUCGUGGACCGUAGUGAGACGCCCAACAGCGAAAGCAUUUGCCAAGAAUGUCUUCAUUAAUCAAGAACGAAAGUCAGAGGUUCGAAGGCGAUUAGAUACCGCCCUAGUUCUGACCGUAAACGAUGCCAUCUCGCGAUUCGGAGGGUUUUUGCCCUGCCGAGGAGCUAUCCGGAAACGAAAGUCUUUCGGUUCCGGGGGUAGUAUGGUUGCAAAGCUGAAACUUAAAGAAAUUGACGGAAGGGCACCACAAGGCGUGGAGCUUGCGGCUUAAUUUGACUCAACACGGGAAAACUCACCCGGUCCGGACACCAUUAGGACUGACAGAUUGAAAGCUCUUUCUCGAUUUGGUGGUUGGUGGUGCAUGGCCGUUCUUAGUUGGUGGAGUGAUUUGUCUGGUUUAUUCCGAUAACGAGCGAGACUCUAGCCUGCUAAAUAGUUGGCGAAUCUUCGGGUUCGUAUAACUUCUUAGAGGGAUAAGCGGUGUUUAGCCGCACGAGAUUGAGCGAUAACAGGUCUGUGAUGCCCUUAGAUGUCCGGGGCUGCACGCGUGCUACACUGGUGGACUCAGCGGGUUUUUCCUAUGCCGAAAGGUAUCGGUAAACCGUUGAAAUUCUUCCAUGUCCGGGAUAGGGUAUUGUAAUUAUUGCCCUUAAACGAGGAAUGCCUAGUAAGUGUGAGUCAUCAGCUCACGUUGAUUACGUCCCUGCCCUUUGUACACACCGCCCGUCGCUAUCCGGGACUGAACUGAUUCGAGAAGAGUGGGGACUGUCGCUUCGAGGUUUAACGACUUCGUUGUUGCGGAAACCAUUUUUAUCGCAUUGGUUUGAACCGGGUAAAAGUCGUAACAAGGUAGCUGUAGGUGAACCUGCAGCUG
rnacentral:rRNA from 1 species